rnacentral:rRNA from 1 species
GGUGGGUAAGGACGGUGCCAGCCGCCGCGGUAAUACCGGCGCCUCAAGUGGUAGUCGAUUUUAUUGGGCCUAAAACGUCCGUAGCCGGUUUGGUACAUUCGUGGGUAAAUCAACCAGCUUAACUGGUUGAAUUCUGCGAGGACGGCCAGACUUGGGACCGGGAGAGGUGUGGGGUACGCUCAGGGUAGGGGUAAAAUCCUGUCAUCCUGAGCGGACCACCUGUUGCGAAGGCGCCACACUAGAACGGAUCCGACGGUCAGGGACGAAGCCUAGGGGCACGAACCGGAUUAGAUACCCGGGUAGUCCUAGGUGUAAACGCUGUGGACUUGGUGUUGGG